rnacentral:rRNA from 1 species
UACAGAGGUCUCAAGCGUUUGUUCGGAUUCAUUGGGCGUAAAGGGUGCGUAGGCGGCGCGGUAAGUCGGGUGUGAAAUCUCGGGGCUUAACUCCGAAACUGCAUUCGAUACUGGCGUGCUUGAGGACUGGAGAGGAGACUGGAAUUCAUGGUGUAGCAGUGAAAUGCGUAGAGAUCAUGAGGAAGACCAGUGGCGAAGGCGGGUCUCUGGACAGUUCCUGACACUGAGACACGAAGGCCAGGGGAGCAAAACGGGG